ACAGUGCAGCUUACUGCCAAUGGACAAGAUGCUCUCGGAGCUAACGCUACGACUGCCGGCAGUGUUACUAUGUUCUUACUGUAGCCUAAUGGCCGAGGUGGUCUUUGUAGAUUUUACGUGCCAACCAAGCUUUUGUCUCUUCAACUAGCGACUGAUAUAUUUGCAAUCAUGGAGAUCUGAAAGGACAGAAGUUUGAGUGGAGGGCUGUCCCUCCCUCUACAUCCUUCUAUAUAUUGCUGCUGGACUUAUGCCUUUAACAUAACAAGAAUAUAUUGCACAAACAUUUACUUAUAAACUCGUGGAGGUGGGUUGUAAGGGAUUUAUUUUCUAAUAUUAUGAUUAAGUGUAUUGAAGUGCCAAAUCUAUUCAUAUAGCACAAAAACCUAUAAUGGAUAUCAUGGUAUGAGUUUUCUGUGGUAUGCGGGCUGUUUUUUGGAAUCCACAUCCACUGUAGUGACAUUUGCCAAGAAGAAUUGUCAGCUUGAAAAGAAAUGGAAAGAGUAUGGCCCGAGUGCACUACACGUAGUCGCUCUCUCCAGCAUGCUUUGGAUGUUAUUUCUGUGGUGACUAGAGCAAGUGAGCAACACAUAAAGGUCUUCCUUUCUUCUUAUUGCUGUAAUGCUGUUACACUCAAAGAUGACUUUGGGCGGAAUGCUACUCAUAUUGCGGCAUCCUGUGGGAAGAAAAAUGUACUUGAUUGGUUAAUUACAGGAAAAGGUGUUGACUUGGCUGUCAAAGACAAAGAAUCAGGAUGGACAGCAUUACACAGAAGCAUUUUCUAUGGACAUAUCGAUUGUGCGUUAUCCCUUUUAAAGCAUGGCAGUAACCUUUACAUUCAAGAUAAAGAUGGAUAUACUCCGUUGGAUCUGGUAAUGAAAGACAGACCUCCCCACAUUGUUUCAAAACUAGUGAUCCCACUGAGCUUUAUACAUGGGGGGACAAUGUCAAUUUCACUUUGGGACAUGGUACUCAACAAAGCAAGCACCAUCCCGAGCUAGUGGAAAUGUUUCCUCGUUCUGGAGUGUAUAUCAAGCAGAUGGUACUUUGCAAAUUUCAUUCAGUCUUCCUGUCUCAGAAAGGACAAGUUUACACAUGCGGACAUGGACAAGGAGGUCGUCUUGGACAUGGAGAUGAACAUGCUUGGUUCCUAGGCUGGUGGAAGGUCUUCGUGGUCAUCCAUGUACUCAGGUCGCUGGAGCAAAGGAUCACACAGUAGUUCUAACGGAAGAUGGAUAUGUUUACACAUUUGGACUAAAUACCCCCCUCCAAAUUCAAAUGUUCCAAGGCAGAUUCAGGCCAAAACCAUGAAGGGAAAGACUGUGUUAGGGGUCGCUGCUGGAAGGUUUCCCACAGUUCUGUGGACUAAAGAUGCUGUUUAUACAGUGGGAUUGAAUGGUGGCCAGUUAGGAUACUUGCAAGAUCCUAAUGGAGAAAAAUUUGUAAGUUGUCCUCGCCAAGUAUCCGCACUUCAUCAUAAAGAUAUAAACAUAACUCUUGUGUCAGCAAGUGAUGGCGCUACAGUUUGUGUCAGUGAAAGGGGAGAUAUUUACCUUCUGUCCGAGUAUCAGUGCAAAAAGCUUGCAUC